rnacentral:rRNA from 1 species
GGCCGUCGUCAGUUCGUACUGUGAAGCAUCCUGUUAAGUCAGGCAACGAGCGAGACCCACGCCCACAGUUGCCAGCGUACUCUCUGGAGUGACGGGUACACUGGUCGGGGACCCGCCCGCUGCUAAAGCGGAGGAAGGAAUGGGCAACGGUAGGUCAGUAUGCCCCGAAUAUCCCGGGCUACACGCGAGCUACAAUGGUUGGUACAAUGGGUAUCUACCCCGGAAGGGGACGGGAAUCUCCUAAAAACCAAUCUUAGUUCGGAUUGAGGGCUGCAACUCGCCCUCAUGAAGCUGGAAUCCGUAGUAAUCGCGUUUCAACAGAACGCGGUGAAUACGUCCCUGCUCCUU